rnacentral:rRNA from 2 species
GAGUUUGAUCCUGGCUCAGAUUGAACGCUGGCGGCAGGCCUAACACAUGCAAGUCGAGCGGAUGACGGGAGCUUGCUCCUUGAUUCAGCGGCGGACGGGUGAGUAAUGCCUAGGAAUCUGCCUGGUAGUGGGGGACAACGUUUCGAAAGGAACGCUAAUACCGCAUACGUCCUACGGGAGAAAGCAGGGGACCUUCGGGCCUUGCGCUAUCAGAUGAGCCUAGGUCGGAUUAGCUAGUUGGUGGGGUAAUGGCUCACCAAGGCGACGAUCCGUAACUGGUCUGAGAGGAUGAUCAGUCACACUGGAACUGAGACACGGUCCAGACUCCUACGGGAGGCAGCAGUGGGGAAUAUUGGACAAUGGGCGAAAGCCUGAUCCAGCCAUGCCGCGUGUGUGAAGAAGGUCUUCGGAUUGUAAAGCACUUUAAGUUGGGAGGAAGGGCAGUAAGUUAAUACCUUGCUGUUUUGACGUUACCGACAGAAUAAGCACCGGCUAACUCUGUGCCAGCCGCCGACCG